GACGAACGCUGGCGGCGUGCUUAACACAUGCAAGUCGAACGGAAAGGCCCUGCUUUUGUGGGGUGCUCGAGUGGCGAACGGGUGAGUAACACGUGAGUAACCUGCCCUUGACUUUGGGAUAACUUCAGGAAACUGGGGCUAAUACCGGAUAGGAGCUCCUGCUGCAUGGUGGGGGUUGGAAAGUUUCGGCGGUUGGGGAUGGACUCGCGGCUUAUCAGCUCGUUGGUGGGGUAGUGGCUUACCAAGGCUUUGACGGGUAGCCGGCCUGAGAGGGUGACCGGCCACAUUGGGACUGAGAUACGGCCCAGACUCCUACGGGAGGCAGCAGUGGGGAGUAUUGCACAGUGGGCGGAAGCCUGAUGCAGCAACGCCGCGUGCGGGAUGACGGCCUUCGGGUUGUAAACCGCUUUCGCCUGUGACGAAGCGUGAGUGACGGUAAUGGGUGAAGAAGCACCGGCUAACUACGUG
rnacentral:rRNA from 1 species